rfam:Triticum aestivum genome assembly, contig: Triticum_aestivum_CS42_TGACv1_scaffold_327889_4BS
AAAGUACUCCCUCCGUCCCAAAAUUCUUGUCUUAGAUUUGUCUAGAUAUAGAUGUAUCAAGUCACAUUUUAGUAUUAGAUACAUCCGUAUCUAGAAAAAUCUAGGACAAGAAGUUUGGGACAGAGGGAGUACUUG